AUUUAUAUAGUUUAAAUAAAACAUUACAUUUUCAUUGUAAAAUUAAAAUAUAAAUUUUUAUAAAUA
rnacentral:tRNA from 1 species